AGAUUGAACGCUGGCGGCAUGCCUAACACAUGCAAGUCGAACGGGAGUAGCAAUACUCUAGUGGCGGACGGGUGAGGAAUACGUAGGAAUUUGCCCUUAAGUGGGGGAUAACCCGGGGAAACCCGGAUUAAUACCGCAUGACCUCGAAAGAGCAAAGUGGGGGAUCGCAAGACCUCACGCUUUUGGAGAAGCCUACGUCGGAUUAGCUAGUUGGUGAGGUAAUGGCUCACCAAGGCGACGAUCCGUAACUGGUCUGAGAGGAUGAUCAGUCACACCGGAACUGAGACACGGUCCGGACUCCGUACGGGAGCAGCGAGGUGGGGAA
rnacentral:rRNA from 1 species